rnacentral:rRNA from 1 species
GGAAGGUCCGGGCGUUAUCCGGAUUUAUUGGGUUUAAGGGGAGCGUAGGCCGUGAGGUAAGCGUGUUGUGAAAUGUAGGCGCCCAACGUCUGCACUGCAGCGCGAACUGCCCCACUUGAGUGCGCGCAACGCCGGCGGAACUCGUCGUGUAGCGGUGAAAUGCUUAGAUAUGACGAAGAACCCCGAUUGCGAAGGCAGCUGGCGGGAGCGUAACUGACGCUGAAGCUCGAAAGCGCGGGUAUCGAACAGGAUUAGAUACCCUGGUAGUCCGCGCGGUAAACGAUGGAUGCCCGCUGUGGCGCGCCUGGCGUGCCGCGGCUAAGCGAAAGCAUUAAGCAUCCCACCUGGGGAGU